CGGCAUGCCUAACACAUGCAAGUCUAGGGUAGCAAUACCACUGGCGCACGGGUGAGUAACACGUAGGUUAUCUGCCCCAUCACAGACAUAACCCCGGGAAACCGGGGCUAAUAUCUGAUGAGGUCGCGAGAUCAAAGCUUCGGCGGAUGGGGAUGAGCCUGCGGCUGAUUAGCUAGUUGGUGAGGUAAUGGCUCACCAAGGCGACGAUCAGUAGCUGGUCUGAGAGGACGAACAGCCACACUGGAACUGAGACACGGUCCGGAGACUCCUACGGGAGGCAGCAGUGAGGAAUAUUGGUCAAUGGGAGCAAUCCUGAACCAGCAAUGCCGCGUGUGGGAUGACAGGGCUUCGCCUUGUAAACCACUGUCGGACGGGACGAAAGGAGGCCUCGGGCCUCUGGGACGGUACCGUCAAAGGAAGGGUCGGCUAACUACGUG
rnacentral:rRNA from 1 species